AAAUUCAAACUUGAAUCUGGUUCUACUCUUUUCUCUCGCCAUAGACGACAAUCGAAAUCAGUUUUGAUUAUAACUGAAAGUUAUACAUCUAAUAUGAAAUCUCAGCUCGGCAGCGGCUUAUCGGCUUGGAGAAUCGUCUCCCUUCCCGGAUAGAUAUUGCUUCGACCGAAUCCAAAGGAAAAUUUACACACCCGAAGUUUGGGUCUGAAUCUGGUUUUAAUCUCUUUCUCCAACUAUUUUCUCUCGCCAUUUAUUUUUGAGGCACGACGAAGGAGGCGACAACCGAAAUCAGGCAGGUGAGAGUUUUGAUGUUUUUGUUAUAGUUGACCUUGAUAUUCGAAUUUUUAUUUCUGAACCUAAUUGUAAUUAGUCAAUUUUUUUGCAAGAACCCAAUUCGAAUUAUCGGUGAAAUGAAGAAUGACGACAACAUUGGCUUUCGAUUUUUUUAUCAGACAUCAGUAGAGAAGCACUUGUUAUAGUAAUUAGGUCUGUGAUCAAUCAAGAUUCAGCCUUUCUGCUGCAUUACAUUUGAGUGAUGAGACCUUGAAUGAGAUGAGUUGAUCUUGUAUUUACAGAUUACAGAAACUCUGAAACUUCUACUAAAAUUAAGAAAGCCUCAACCUUUUUAUGGUGGAAUAGUGUUCUGAUUAUUCUGUUUGGACAUGCCUAGCAUUAUGUGAAUCCAUCAAAUGACCUUAAAUUCAACUCCAAACCUGAAGUGAUUCGGUAUCUCAAGAAUGCUGAGAAAGAUGUCAAACUCAGGAGCUGAAUAAGGUAGAAACUAGCGCGAACCCUUCUGGAAAAAUAGAUUAUUUAAUCGAUAAAGCCGAUGAGCCGAGCUGAGAUUUCUUAUACAGAUAUAUACGUAUGAUCUUUAUAGUU
rnacentral:lncRNA from 1 species